GUACCGAUGGUAUCAAAUACUAGUCAUCCUCUUUUAAAGGAUGUAUCUUGACCGUCCAUUUAAAAAAUUUUAAUGAUUAAGAUUUUUUUGGUAUAUAGGAGCAUUGUUCUAAUAAUAAAUGCAAUGAUACUAUGAUACCAAAUAUAACAUUCUGGCCCAUUAAUACUAAUAACAUAUUGCGCUUAAAUCAUUAGCUCAAAAUAUUUAAAUUUAGUUAUUACUCUUAAAGCUCAUAAUUCUUAUUCGUAUAUUAAGU
rnacentral:lncRNA from 1 species